rnacentral:misc_RNA from 1 species
CUCUUAUUGAACGAGCUAAGAAGCUGCAUAACCCUUCCUCCCCCCUCCACCCACCCACCUCACACCCACUCUCCCUUGGUACGCGCGCAUACAUAAUCGUCCAUACAUGCGUAUGUGAGCAUCAAGGAAUCAUUCACGAAGCGAACAACAUAUUGCCCGUGGUUUGAUGCGGACGCGAAAGGCAAAUGAUGAUGUCCUCCCGUGCGGCAGGCGUUGAUGCUAUGCAGUGGACGUGUACUCGGCGACCGAAUUUGUCUUCAUGUUUGGGUGUCGUCUUUUUCGUUUCCCCCGUGCCCUUUGAACGGCCCUCGCCGCCCAUAUAUAAACAGAACUGUAUAUGCUGUUUUGGCUUGCUGUUGUCGAAGCGUAUAGACGUUCUGCCGCCUUCUCCACCGGUGCCACUCACCGUCUUCUCGUCUACUUGCUCUCCCGCCGCAUGUCUGCCGCAGAGGGCUAACGAGUAGCACGAGAAGCAGAAGAAGGGGGAAUGGAAUGAGAAUGCGGAAGAGUAUGCAAAGGGAAAGCCGUGGCACAACCUCAUCUUCUCUGUUCUUGCCCUCUCCACCCUCCUCUGUCACUGUAUGCACGAGCACAUGCUCCUGUGUGCUUGGCAUGCCUUUGCGUGAAG